CAAAGCCUUCGACCAACUUCAAAGUUCAAACCAUGGCUGGAGAAGGAAGUAAACAAAACGCAACUAGAGAUGAUGCCUAUGCAUAUCUUAGGACUGUGAAGAAAAAAAUUCAGAACGAUCGUGAAAAAUAUAACGAUUUUCUUGCGAUUAUGAAUAAUUUUAAUGCUGGAAGAAUUGAUAGGAAUGGUUGCAUAGAAGAGGUGAAGGAACUAUUUAAAGGACACCGAGACUUGAUUUCGGGUUUCAAUGUGUUUUUACCAGGGUCCUUAGAGAUCGCUGAUUGGUACAACUUAGAGGGUCGCUGAUGUAUAACGUCCGUCUAAUCUUUUUUAGGAUCUAAACCGAGUUCGGGUUAGAUUCGUAUUCUAAGGCGAAUCUGUUUAUGAUUUGUUAUAUUUACUCCAUUAGCCAUUCGGCCUUAUAAAUAAUGGUUCUAAGCUCUUUGUAGUUCCCAUUUUUUUUAUAUAUCAACCUCCUCUCAA